UUGGCCGCCAUCUUUGUUACUGGCGGUGAAGCCUUGUUUGGAUAGUGAAGGGGGAGAGCAGCGAAGUUUAACCCGGGAGAAGUAGCUGCUGUUUGGGCUGAAACAUGGUCCAGACGUGCUCAGCGUACGGCUGUAAGAACCGGUACCACAAAGACAAGGACAUCUCAUUCCACAAGUUUCCUCUGGCGCGGCCGGACGUCUGCAGGAAGUGGGUGGCGGCGAUGAGGAGGAGCAACUUCAAGCCCACCAAGUACAGCAACAUUUGCUCCCAGCACUUCAGCCAGGACUGCUUCAAGAGGGAAUGCAACAACCGGGUCCUGAAGGACAACGCCGUGCCCUCACUGUUCGGCUUCGGCCUCAGCAUGAAGUCAGAAUCUCUAGAGAACCCGUUCUCCUCAGAGAUCGACUUCCCGCUCUCCCUGCCGGUGACCUCUGACCCUACGCCGGCGGAGGAGGCCGGCGGCGGCCCGGCGGACGGCCGCAGCGACCCGGCGGCGGUGAGCGGCGACCAUAACUACACGGCGGAGGACUCAGCGCAGCAGAAGCGGCGCAUGGAGCAGCUGGAGGAGCAGCUGGAGCUGCUGCGGCGCAAACUGAAGACGGCGCAGCAGAAAGUCCGCCGGCAGCAGCGGCAGCUCAAGAGGCUGAGGGCGGGGCGGGGGGCGCGGGCCGGGCGUGGGCCGCCCGCCGCCCGCUACGUGGUCGUACCCAAACACCUCUACCACACCCUGAAGGGGGUCCAAUGACCAGAACCAGAACCAGGAUUCCCUCUGACCAGCCGGACGGUUUGUUGGACCUCAGGAACGUGGACGAUCAGCAGCAGUGGGGCCUCCUGCACAACCAGCAGCUGCUUUAUGUAAAAUAAUUUUCUAGGAAAGUAAGUGCACCCUGAGGACUUCAUCAUCAUCAUCAUCAUCAUCAUCCUCAUCAUCAUCAUCAUCAUCCUCCUCCUCCUCCUCCUCAUGGGUUCAGUGGCUCGCCCGGCCAGCAGGUGGCAGCAGAGAGCUGUGAGUCAACGAGUCAUGCAUGAAACACAAACUGGUUUAUUCUACAGAUUUCUCCUUUAAUGGAGGAUAAAACCUGAUGGAGGGAAGAGCUGGAAGGAUUCACAAAAUAUGUCAGGAAAAAAGGCUAAUUAUUAUUAUUAUUUUAUUUAUUUUCUAAGUCUGACCAAAUUUUAUUUUUCUAUUAACAUUAAAAGUUAAACAAAAAGUCCAGAUUUUAGUUUUAAAUGUUUAGUUUUUCCUGAUGGAGGGGAUUUAAAAAUGACUGUGAAAAAUUUAUCAUUUAUGUUUUUCAAUUAAAUAUUUCUGACUAUAAAAAUAUUUAUUUAAUUUCUACAGCAAAACAACAAAGUGGAAAAUACCUGGGCCUUUUUUAUUAGAAGUGAAAAAAUCUCGUGAUUUUUGAAAGAUUUUUUCUCCCCGUUUGAUUUUUGAUCUUAAGCAAGAAAAAAAAAAGAAGAUAAUUUUUUAUUAAUAUCUUUUUCUUGUGUUGGAUAAGAUUAAAAAAACUGAAUUUAUUGAUUUAUUUGUGAAUUUCCCUUCAGGAUUUUUUCUUUUCCACUUUGUUGGUUGUUUUUGUUUUAGCGCGGCGCUAAAAAUGCCAAGGUCACGGGUUCAACCCCCAAACUGGCCAAUUCAAAUCUAAAGUCUUCAGAAAAUGAACACGUCAAAAUAAAAAAGGCUGGAAAAUAAACCACUGUGCAUGUUGAUUUUGGACAAACAUUAGAGUAGUAGAAACCCUGGUCCUCCAGACUCACCGCCCUGCAGGGUUUAGGUGUUUCCUUGCUUCAGUCCAGCUGAUUUCAAUUGAUGACGGAUUAACAGGCGUUUGUUGAACUGCAGUCAGUUGAAUCAGGAACAUUAAAACAGGGAAACCUCUGAAACAUGGAGGACUGUGGGCCUUGAGGACCAGGGUUGGAAAACACUGAGAAAGUGAACAUUUCCUAUGAAAAGCUGAAUGCUUUUGGUGAAAAUGGCAAAAGUGUUUGAAGCCGACAGCUGAAGAUUUACAGAAAGGUAAGAAAUAGUCCAUGCAGUGUGAAGAACCCAGGUAAAAGCUAAAACUAGCUAAAAUACUAAUGAUAGCAUCGAGGCUACCACUAGCAUGCUGGGUUACAGUAAAAUAUUCCAUAUUUUAAAAAAAAACUCACGUAAAGCCUAAAAUUUGAAAAGGACAGAAACGUUCUCCGGAUCCUUCUGAUAAAACCGGAGGGUGAAUUAAAUCCAACAUCAUAUUUCAACAUUUGUUUGGAGGCAUCGUUUAGCACGGUGGCUAUAAAAAACACGCUGCAUGCAGCACGAGAAGAGAAACUUCAAAAGCUCAAAUUAUUCCCAGCUGUUAAACAGCAUAACAGCUGUUAGACUGCCCAACUUCAAAAUGGCCGCUGCCUCGUUUCCUCCAUGACAGCCAGAAACAUCCACUGUGAAACACGGCGGACAUUUUAUAUUGUAAUUCUCAGUUCUGCCACAGGAUGGAGCGGUUUCCCCAUUUCU